AAACUCAAAGGAAUUGACGGGGACCCGCACAAGCAGCGGAGCGUGUGGUUUAAUUCGUUGCUACACGAAGAACCUUACCUGGGUUUGACAUAUAGGUCGUAGGGAACUGAAAAGGGACCGACCCUUCGGGGAGCCUAUACAGGUGUUGCAUGGCUGUCGUCAGCUCGUGUCGUGAGAUGUUCGGUUAAGUCCGCUAACGAGCGCAACCCUCGUCGUAUGUUAUAUGUGUCAUACGAGACUGCCGGUAAAAGCCGGAGGAAGGUGAGGAUGAUGUCAAGUCAGCAUGACCUUUAUAUCCAGGGCUACACACACGCUACAAUGGUCUGUACAAUGGGUAGCCAAGCCGCGAGGCGGAGCCAAUCCUGAAAGCAGGCCUCAGUUCAGAUUGCAGUCUGCAACUCGACUGCAUGAAGCCGGAGUUGCUAGUAACCGCAGGUCAGCAAUACUGCGGUGAAUACGUUCCCGGGUCUU
rnacentral:rRNA from 1 species